AUUGAACGCUGGCGGCAGGCCUAACACAUGCAAGUCGAGCGAGCGGCGGACGGGUGAGUCAUGUCUGGGAACCUGCCCGAUGGAGGGGGAUAACUACUGGAAACGGUAGCUACUACCGCAUACCAUCAGAUGUGCCCAGAUGGGUUUAGCUAGUAGGUGGGGUAACGGCUCACCAAGGCGACGAUCCCUAGCUGGUCUGAGCGGAUGACCGGCCACACUGGGACGGAGACACGGUCCAGACUCCUACGGAAGGCAGCAUGGGGGAAUAUUGCACAAUGGGCGAAAUCCUGAUGCAGCCAUGCCGCGUGUAUGAAGAAGGCCUUCGGGUUGUAAAGUACUUUCAGCGGGGAGGCGUUACCCGCAGAAGAAGCACCGGCUAACGCCGUGCCAGCAGCCGCGGUAAUAC
rnacentral:rRNA from 1 species